rnacentral:lncRNA from 1 species
UCAGACCUCACCUUUGAUCCCUGUUGUAGUGAACAUUUGUCUGAUUCGUGUCUCAUAACUUUUGUACUAUAGAACACAAACUCAGUUUUCUUUCCAGGGAAACCAGUCCAUUCAUACUAUUACAUCUUCAUACUAAGUCAACUUGAACUUCUAGCAGUCAAAUAAAACCAAGGUUAACAACCAAGUAGAACAACUGCAAUCAUUGGGAACUUGUACCACUGCAGACUCACCAUAAACAAAUAUACAUUGAUAUAUGCAUUGCUUUUGAAACCUUGAUAACAUAUAAAUUAUUUGCCUUAAUAAAUAAAUCAUUAGAUAAACAUGAAUGUGCUAUAUAUGAAUGUUUAAUGUUGAGGCAACAUUGCCACAGUUUUCAUAAUUACGGUUGCCUUGGUUUUUGGUUAACUGCCUUCAGCGCUUACAGCGCUUUGAUUGUA